rnacentral:rRNA from 1 species
AGUCUACACAUGCAGUCGAACGGUAACAGGAAACAGCUUGCUGCUUCGCUGACGAGUGGCGGACGGGUGAGUAAUGUCUGGGAAACUGCCUGAUGGAGGGGGAUAACUACUGGAAACGGUAGCUAAUACCGCAUAACGUCGCAAGACCAAAGAGGGGGACCUUCGGGCCUCUUGCCAUCGGAUGUGCCCAGAUGGGAUUAGCUAGUAGGUGGGGUAACGGCUCACCUAGGCGACGAUCCCUAGCUGGUCUGAGAGGAUGACCAGCCACACUGGAACUGAGACACGGUCCAGACUCCUACGGGAGGCAGCAGUGGGGAAUAUUGCACAAUGGGCGCAAGCCUGAUGCAGCCAUGCCGCGUGUAUGAAGAAGGCCUUCGGGUUGUAAAGUACUUUCAGCGGGGAGGAAGGGAGUAAAGUUAAUACCUUUGCUCAUUGACGUUACCCGCAGAAGAAGCACCGGCUAACUCCGUGCCAGCAGCCGCGGUAAUACGGAGGGUGCAAGCGUUAAUCGGAAUUACUGGGCGUAAAGCGCACGCAGGCGGUUUGUUAAGUCAGAUGUGAAAUCCCCGGGCUCAACCUGGGAACUGCAUCUGAUACUGGCAAGCUUGAGUCUCGUAGAGGGGGGUAGAAUUCCAGUGUAGCGGUGAAAUGCGUAAGAUCUGGAGGAAUACCGGUGGCGGAUGCCGCCCCCUGGACGAACACUGACGCUCAGGUGCGAAAGCGUGGGGGAGCAAACAGGAUGACAUACCCUGGGUAGUCUACGCCGUAAACGAUGUCGACAUUGGAGUUGUGCCCUUGAGGCGUCGGCUUCCCGCAGCUAACGCGUUAAGUCGACCGCCUGGGGAGUACUGCCGCAGGGGUGAGACUCAUAUUGAUUUGACGGGAGGCCCGCACCAGCGGUGGAGCAUGU